CUCCUGGGAAGUCCUCUUGUUGAAUCCC
rnacentral:rRNA from 1 species